rnacentral:ncRNA from 3 species
UACGGAGGAUCCGAGCGUUAUCCGGAUUUAUUGGGUUUAAAGGGAGCGUAGGUGGAUUGUUAAGUCAGUUGUGAAAGUUUGCGGCUCAACCGUAAAAUUGCAGUUGAAACUGGCAGUCUUGAGUACAGUAGAGGUGGGCGGAAUUCGUGGUGUAGCGGUGAAAUGCUUAGAUAUCACGAAGAACUCCGAUUGCGAAGGCAGCUCACUAGACUGUUACUGACACUGAUGCUCGAAAGUGUGGGUAUCAAACAGG